rnacentral:lncRNA from 1 species
GCCCGGGCUGCUGCUGCGCGCCCGCCUCCACGCGCGCCCGCCGCCUGCGCCUGCCGCCCUCCCUCCGGCUCCUCUCUUUCUCUCCCCCUCUCUCUCCCUCUCCUCUCUCGCUCGCUCUCUUGCUCGCGCUCUCUCCCUCCCUGGAAGAAGGGAAUGAGGCAGGGCUGACGUGAAGGGAUGCAAAACAGCUCCUCCUAACCCAGCUCGCAGAGGAAGAGAGACAGAAAAGCAGCCCUUUUAUCUCUCUUUUGUUUUCUCACUUCCUUCCACCCCCCAACACCCCCUCCUGUCAGCCCAAGUUUUCUUUUUCUCUUUCUACCACAGAGAGGAUUUUUCUUCCUUUCUUUCUCUUUCUCUCGGUUCAACUCUUCUACUCGAAUUCAAAAGCCUGGAGGGUUUUUUCCCCUCUCUCUUUUCUUCCUUCUUUUCUUCCUUCUUCCUCCUUUCUUAUUUCUCUAAAAGGGUUUUGUUUGCUGUGGGAGUUUCGUUUGAAAAUCAAGUCACGCCUUUUUUUCCUUCUUUUCUCUCUCUCUCUUUUCUCUCCUCAGCAGAAAAGGGGAACAAAGAUUAACGAGCGGGGGAGAAGGGAGCGUCAGAACCUCGCAUGGAAAUGGGGGGCCCUGCCCGGCACAAAGGGGCCCAGGGGCCCCGACCCCCCGGGAAGCCUGGGGGUCCCCCCCGAAGGGAGUCAGUGGGGUGGGGGUUAGCUCCUGGGUUCCGGAUCCUUCUGAAGUACGGACUGGGAGCCCCGGGUCGGUGGUCCUCAGCCAGAGGUGGGAGGCUGGGUGUGUUCUUUACUCAUAUAUUUAUAAAGUAGGCAGAUGGGCUUGGAGCAACAUCCCCGCAGAGCUCGGAACAGUGAGAGAGCCUUGAAACAGCUGUUAGCAGAGCCCUGGACGGCCAGGACCGAGGGAGCGGCGCGGGCUGUGAGCGCCAGGCCGGGGCGGGAAGGGGUUCUGAGGAGUCGCAGGGAUGGCCCCUCGCGGGCUCCCCAAUCCCGGGGCCUGGGCCUCGGCCCGGGACGCACUUGCUGGGGGGCGCCGAGGCGUGGCCGUUCGCCGCACGCCGGUCGGGUCCCUGGCUGCUCCCCGCAGGGCCGCGGGGUCCGGCGCAGCUUGGCCUUCUCCCAGCUCUGGGGCAGGCCGGCCACCCGGCCUCCAACCUACAGAACCCGCGCCACUCAGAGCCGCUUCUCGACUCCGACGCAGGGCCGGUCCUGAGCCGGCGGGAGAGAGCCGCCACGAAGGGUCAAUUAUUCAUGGAGCGCCUGGGCGUGCUCCCAAGACCUGCCCUGUCCUCGGCUUCUCCGGAGAAGUGGGGAGAAGACGGGGGAAAAGUUCCCAGAGCAAAGUUGGGCACAUUUCUUAUUUUCCCAAGUAAGUAUUGAGCACCUGCUGGAUGCCUGGCCCUUGGACUGGGGCUGCAACGGGGGCGGGAGGGAGAAACGUGAGGUCCUGAUGGGCCCCCAAGAGUUUCCGCUGGAAACAAUGCGAAGGAGGCUGCCGCUCAGGACCAGGUCACUGGGAAGAAGGAAAGCCUGGAUCCUCUCCCCCCACCCUCCUCUCUUCCUUCCCCUUCCCUUCCUCCCGGCUGCAUCUUCUUGGCUCCACCCCUUCUCCUCAUCAAUUCCUCCCACACUUCCCUGCUCUCCCUGGCUUUUCACUGGAGGGUCCCUUCUCCCAGCGAGGAGCAGAUGCUGAGCCCCAUUGUCUCUCCCCCAAUGACUGCAGUCUCCCAGGGACAGGACCUGCCACUCUUCACCCCUCCCCCAAGCCGGGAGGCCUGGGCCUUUAGAGACUGGAGACCCAAGGCCACUGCCCCUCGCCCCACCCUACACCAGCUCUUGGUGCUGUGAGCAAUGACUCCAGUCACUCAGAACAUGAUUUAUUUCUCACUAGGAGUGAGAAAACAGAAGCCAGAGAGUUUGCUUCAGCAAGAAAGACACCAUGGUUUUGACAUCGGCACAUCGAGCCCCCAGUGACCCCAGAGCCUUCCUGCAUGCCCUGUUAAGAGAGUGCCCAGUACACUCUUUUAAUAGGGCCUGCAGGAAGUCACAUUUCUGUCAUUACCUGCUCCUUAGUACACUCAAACUGUAUCCUUUAAACAAAGCAAAACACAGCUCUGGUAGUCACACAUUCAUUCAACAAAUGCUUGUCAAGUACCUACUCUGCACCAACUAGUGUGCUGGUAGUAAGCACCUAACCAUCAGCAAGAUAGGAUCCUUGCUAUGGCUUUGCAGACAGCAGGGGAAGGAGCAAAAAAAAAAAAAAACAUAAUGUACACAAGGGUAAACCAAAAAAACAUCUAAAGGGGUACCUGACUUAGGGUAUUCCCAGAAGGCUUCCUGGAGGAGGUUACAUCUAGUUAAAUGGACCUGUGUCAGACAGUGCAUGGGAGGAAACAGCCUGUCCCCAGGGCAAGAGAGAAAGAACACUUUUACAGGUUCUUGGAAUUGUUAAUGAGUUCAAGUACUUGCUGCAGCCCAGAGUACUGUGGGGGGUGGGGGUGAGGAUUGGUGUCAGGGCACAAGUGGGGGAGGGGAAGGGGAAAUGUUCAAAUUUUAGCCUUCCCACUUGCUAACUCCAUGAACUUGAGUGACUAUAACAGUGGCUCAGUUUCCGUACCUAUAAAAUAGGGGUAAGAAGACCUGUGGGUUGCAGAGAGGCUUUAUGUUUAAGUGCCCAGGCUUGCUUGCUGAAUAUCCCUGGGCAACUGACCACUCUAUGUCUAAGUUUUCUUGUCUGUAAAAUGGGGAUGAAGAUACAUGGUUCACAGAGUUCGUGAGGCUUAAACAAACCCAUGCCUAAAAUACAGGGUAGCUUCUGUUCACAAUUACUAUAAAUGAGGGAGUGACAGGGAGAUGCCCUUACAACCUGGAUUUGAGAUUAUUGGUUUAAGUCAGAGUGACUCACCAGGCCAGAAACCCGAUGAGCUGGCUGUGGAGGAAGCUUUCUUCAAAAAUGCUCUGUGUCCCAGCAGGUAGCUGGACUGGGGAACACCCGCCUCUGUUUGAGACCUCAAAAACAUGACCAGAAAAAAAAAAUGACCAGAAUGGAUGUAGUUAAGAAGGUCAAACCUUCUUCUUUAGGAAGAAGGUGGGCCUUGUAAAAUCCAGAAGGAGCAGGUACCUGGCUGUGUUUGCUCAGGUGAGAGUAGACAUAGAAGUUGUGCUGGGUUUGUGUGUCAGAGAGGGGAGGGUACUGACUCCACCAGAGCCCAUGUUAAAUCUCUUAAAACUAUUACUUGGGGUCCUGGUUUUCCAAACAACCUGCAGAUGAACUUCACACUAGCAAAAUGCCCCCUGGAUCCAGGCAGACACCAGUGUUCCAGUUCUUGUGUUGUAAACAUUCUACACUUCUAUUAUUUCUUUAUAGCACAAAUUCAUUGUGAAAGAAUUUGAAAAUCAACUAAGCAAAACUGGAAAAGAACCACAUACAGAGACAUUAUGUUUUGGCAUAUAACCUUGGACCUUUUAUAUCCCCAUAUCUACAUGUAAAUGCCCAUAAUAAAACUAUACAUAAUGUUGCUAAACAAAUGAAUAUAUAUGUAAA